rnacentral:rRNA from 1 species
UGGGUAACGUCAACACACAAGGGUAUUAACCUCGCGCUUUCUUCCCCACUGAAAGUGCUUUACAACCCGCAGGCCUUCUUCACACACGCGGCAUUGCUGGAUCAGGCUUCCGCCCAUUGUCCAAUAUUCCCCA